rnacentral:lncRNA from 1 species
GGCAUCUGAAAUGGGGCAGUAUGAGAGGUAGAUAUGCCAAUAUCUUGAUGGUUGAAUGAAUUAGCUAUCAUCUUCCUUCCUAGAUUCAAGUAUUGCAAUGCCUCAAAUGCCUCCUCAUGUAUCGUUGUUAGUCCCGGAUGAACACACUGCGCAGGAUUAGUGGGAUUGAGGUACAUUGCAUAGAUCGAACAGAUUUGAGAUAGAAAAUCAACCUAAAAAAAGAGGAUUUUGUGUAUUAGAGUCAUUUCGUAUGUUAAUAAACAAAAAAGCAAGCAUAUGGCUAGACAAAAAGGCAAGUAUUAAAUAAUUUACCAAGUAGUCGAACUGCUCCCCAUCUUUUUGAUGACCAUCAUGUUGGGUCUGCUGCGAAACAAGAGGUGUUAUGUAGCGAACAGUAUGGUUUUGGUGC